rnacentral:rRNA from 1 species
CAGCAGCCGCGGUAAUACGUAGGUGGCAAGCGUUGUCCGGAAUUAUUGGGCGUAAAGCGCGCGCGGGCGGUUCUUUAAGUCUGGUUGGUAAGACCAGGGCUUCAACCUGGUGGGGCAGUGGAAACUGGGGAUCCUGAGAGCAGAAGAGGAGAGCGGAAUUCCACGUGUCGCGGUGAAAGGAAUUGAGAUGUGGAGUUACACCCGAGGCGAAGGCGGCUCUUUGGGCUGUUACUGACGCUGAGGCGCUAAAGCGUGGAAAGCUAACAGACUUAGAUACCCUGGUGGUUCCCGCCGUUAUUUAUAAAUGCUAAGUGUUAGUGGGUUUUAAUACCGCUUAUUUUGUGCCGAAGUUAACACAUUAAGCAUUCCGCGUGGGGACUAUGGGCGCAAUACUGAAACUCAGAGGAAUUGUUGGGGGCCCACACAAGCGGUGGAGAAUGUGGUUUAAUUCGAAGCAACGCAAAGAACCUUACCAAGUCUUGACAUCCUUCGAAAACUCCAAAAAAAAAAGGCUCCCUUCGGGAGGAAGGAGAGAUGUGGGGCGUGGG